GUGAAUCAUCAAAUUUUUGAACGCAAAUUGCGCCUUUUUCGUAACGCAUGUGUGUUUGAGGGCACCAUUUAACAUAUAAUGUUCAUUUUUGUGUGCACACGUUGAUUAGCUUUCCAAGCUGAUGUAUUAUUUUUGGUGUCGCAUAACAAACAGCGCGAUGCUUUUUUUCAGUUCGAGUGUAGUAAAAUUUUUUCUUGCUUGGGUUGUGAAAAAGCG
rnacentral:misc_RNA from 1 species